GACGAACGCUGGCGGCGUGCUUAACACAUGCGAGUCGAGCGGUAAGGCCUUUCGGGGUACACGGGCAGCGAACGGGUGAGUAACACGUGGGUGAUCUGCCCCGCACUUCGGGAUAAGCCUGGGAAACUGGGUCUAAUACCGGAUAUGACCUCCUAUCGCAUGGUGGGUGGUGGAAAGAUUUAUCGGUGCAGGAUGGGCCCGCGGCCUAUCAGCUUGUUGGUGGGGUAAUGGCCUACCAAGGCGACGACGGGUAGCCGACCUGAGAGGGUGACCGGCCACACUGGGACUGAGACACGGCCCAGACUCCUACGGGAGGCAGCAGUGGGGAAUAUUGCACAAUGGGCGAAAGCCUGAUGCAGCGACGCCGCGUGAGGGAUGACGGCCUUCGGGUUGUAAACCUCUUUCAGCAGGGACGAAGCGCAAGUGACGGUACCUGCAGAAGAAGCACCGGCUAACUACGUG
rnacentral:rRNA from 1 species